rnacentral:rRNA from 1 species
CGCUGCUGGGUCGCGUGCUAUACAUGCAAGUCGAGCGGACAGAUGGGAGCUUGCUCCCUGAUGUUAGCGGCGGACGGGUGAGUAACACGUGGGUAACCUGCCUGUAAGACUGGGAUAACUCCGGGAAACCGGGGCUAAUACCGGAUGGUUGUCUGAACCGCAUGGUUCAGACAUAAAAGGUGGCUUCGGCUACCACUUACAGAUGGACCCGCGGCGCAAUAGCUAGUUGGUGAGGUAACGGCUCACCAAGGCGACGAUGCGUAGCCGACCUGAGAGGGUGAUCGGCCACACUGGGACUGAGACACGGCCCAGACUCCUACGGGAGGCAGCAGUAGGGAAUCUUCCGCAAUGGACGAAAGUCUGACGGAGCAACGCCGCGUGAGUGAUGAAGGUUUUCGGAUCGUAAAGCUCUGUUGUUAGGGAAGAACAAGUGCCGUUCAAAUAGGGCGGCACCUUGACGGUACCUAACCAGAAAGCCACGGCUAACUACGUGCCAGCAGCCGCGGUAAUACGUAGGUGGCAAGCGUUGUCCGGAAUUAUUGGGCGUAAAGGGCUCGCAGGCGGUUUCUUAAGUCUGAUGUGAAAGCCCCCGGCUCAACCGGGGAGGGUCAUUGGAAACUGGGGAACUUGAGUGCAGAAGAGGAGAGUGGAAUUCCACGUGUAGCGGUGAAAUGCGUAGAGAUGUGGAGGAACACCAGUGGCGAAGGCCACUCUCUGGUCUGUAACUGACGCUAAGGAGCGAAAGCGUGGGGAGCGAAACAGGCAUUAGAUACCCUGGGUAGUCCACGCCGUACACGAUG